rnacentral:rRNA from 1 species
GACGAACGCUGGCGGCGUGCUUAACACAUGCAAGUCGAACGGAAAGGCCCUGCUUGCAGGGUACUCGAGUGGCGAACGGGUGAGUAACACGUGGGUGAUCUGCCCUGCACUUCGGGAUAAGCCUGGGAAACUGGGUCUAAUACCGGAUAGGAGCCACUUUUAGUGUGAUGGUUGGAAAGUUUUUUCGGUGUAGGAUGAGCUCGCGGCCUAUCAGCUUGUUGGUGGGGUAAUGGCCUACCAAGGCGGCGACGGGUAGCCGGCCUGAGAGGGUGGACGGCCACAUUGGGACUGAGAUACGGCCCAGACUCCUACGGGAGGCAGCAGUGGGGAAUAUUGCACAAUGGGCGCAAGCCUGAUGCAGCGACGCCGCGUGGGGGAUGACGGCCUUCGGGUUGUAAACUCCUUUCGCUAGGGACGAAGCUUUUUGUGACGGUACCUAGAGAAGAAGCACCGGCUAACUACGUG